rnacentral:rRNA from 1 species
AGCAAAAAACAACUACAAAUCUGCCAAAAAUAAAGAAAAUUUUUACAGCGCAUAGUAUUCUAUAAAAAAUCCAUCUACUGCUUCACAACCGCAAGGACCAAUCUUCCAGCCUCUUCAAGAAAUGAUAAUCUCAUAUCCCUUUUGCAUCAUGGAGAAGCAACAAAACCAUAGCAAGCUAAACUCCCGAAUGACUAUGAGCUACUAACUCUUAAAAAUCAAUGUCUCACAAUUGAUAAAAUAACCCUUAGUAGAAGUAACAAGCCUUUCAUAUAGUCACAUAGCUGGUUUUUCUUUAAAAGCAUCAAAGUGCUGCCUUAUAGACACAAGUAUCACGCUACAACUCUAUAAAGUUUAACUUACUGAGGAUAAGCUCAGUAAGAACACAAAAAUACCUUACUUUUCUUAGCUUUCUAAGUAGGCUUAAAAGCAGCCACCUAACAACGUUCUAGUUAUAACACUCAAAUAUCUCAAUAUUUAUUCUACAUCAUUUUAACCCAUUAAAGAAAUUUAUCAUAAAACACCAUAUGAUAAUAAACAGGCAUUCUAUUAGUAUUAACAUAACUUUACUUUUCAUAACCUUAAAAGAACCUGAAACAUCCAAUAUUUUCAUCUUACAAACUUAUACAAAGCGAACUCGGCAAAUAAAUUCCCUGCCUGUUUACCAAAAACAUCGUCUUUUGAGUCAACUCUAAUAAAAGAUAAUGCCUGCCCAGUGAAAUUUUAAACGGCCGCGUUAGCGUGAGCGUGCUAAGGUAGCGUAAUAAUUAGCCUUUUAAUUGAAGGCCAGUGAAUGGCAAGACUAGGAAUACCUGUACUUUGUAUACAAAAAGAAUUUUUCAUCUAAGUGAAAAGACUUAGAUAACAAAGGAAGACGAAAAGACCCCGCGGAACUUUACCUCUUCUCAUACUUCUGUUCACCCACUUAAAGGUAUGUGAGGUUUGAUUGGGGCAAUCUUGGAACCAAUAAAGCUUCCAAUUUUUACUAAGAAAUAUCCAAAACUUACUAAGGACUAAAAAGUAGUUACCCCGGGGAUAACAGCGUAAUCCAACUCAAGAGUACACAUCGAAAGUUGGGUUUGCGACCUCGAUGUUGGCUUAAGGAAAUCCACAUAAGUGCAACCGCUAUGACAGGAUAGUCUGUUCGACUAUUAUACCCUUACACGAGCUGAGUUAAGACCGGCGCAAGCUAGGUUGGUUUCUAUCUCCUUUUUCUUAAAAAUUUUCUUGAUUGUACGAAAGGACCCCAAGAAAUGCACCACACAUAAAGCAACCUUAAACUUAUUCAUUAAACUGAGUUCAACUACUAA